rnacentral:rRNA from 1 species
UGGGGAAUUUUCCGCAAUGGGCGCAAGCCUGACGGAGCAAUACCGCGUGAGGGAGGAAGGCUUUUGGGUUGUAAACCUCUUUUGUUAAGGAAGAAAAUUUGACGGUACUUAACGAAUCAGCAUCGGCUAACUCCGUGCCAGCAGCCGCGGUAAUACGGAGGAUGCAAGCGUUAUCCGGAAUCAUUGGGCGUAAAGCGUCCGCAGGUGGUUAAUCAAGUCUGCUGUUAAAGACAGAAGCUCAACUUCUGAUAGGCAGUGGAAACUGGUGAACUAGAGUAUGGUAGGGGUUGAGGGAAUUCCCAGUGUAGCGGUGAAAUGCGUAGAUAUUGGGAAGAACACCAGUGGCGAAGGCGCUCAACUGGGCCAUAACUGACACUCAGGGACGAAAGCUAGGGUAGCGAAAGGGAUUAGAUACCCCUGUAGUCC